UCCGGUGGCCAUGGCGGUGGGGAUCCACCCGUUCCCUUUCCGAACACGGAAGUUAAGCCCACCCGCGCCGAUGGUACUUGGGGAGAAGUCCCCCGGGAGAGUAGGUCGCUGCCGGGC
rnacentral:rRNA from 1 species